AACGAACGCUGGCGGCAGGCUUAACACAUGCAAGUCGAACGCAUCGCAAGAUGAGUGGCAGACGGGUGAGUAACGCGUGGGAAUCUACCCAUCUCUGCGGAAUAGCUCUGGGAAACUGGAAUUAAUACCGCAUACGCCCUACGGGGGAAAGGUUUAUCGGGGAUGGAUGAGCCCGCGUUGGAUUAGCUAGUUGGUGGGGUAAAGGCCUACCAAGGCGACGAUCCAUAGCUGGUCUGAGAGGAUGAUCAGCCACAUUGGGACUGAGACACGGCCCAAACUCCUACGGGAGGCAGCAGUGGGGAAUAUUGGACAAUGGGCGCAAGCCUGAUCCAGCCAUGCCGCGUGAGUGAUGAAGGCCUUAGGGUUGUAAAGCUCUUUCACCGAUGAAGAUAAUGACGGUAGUCGGAGAAGAAGCCCCGGCUAACUUCGUGCCAGCCGCCGCGGUAAUAC
rnacentral:rRNA from 1 species